rfam:Candidatus Altiarchaeales archaeon A3 Ga0073111_1209, whole genome shotgun sequence.
GGGCUUGUGGUCCAGUGGUUAUGACGUCUGCUUCACAUGCAGAAGAUCCCCGGUCCGAAUCCGGGCAAGCCCA